AGGAUUUAUGUCUUGUAAUAACAACAACAAGCUCUAAGUAGCUCUGAAAGCUGAAUUUGAGGGGCCCAUAAGCACAGGAAGCUGGCCAGAGAGGAGCUGUGGUGAUGGAGACACUGUCCUUACCAGACAUUUAUCACUGGUUUUGUGGGAGCAUCUUAAUCAAGUGAUCCUGCCUCCAGGUCUCUCACAAAGUUGACCUCCAGUACAAGAUUCAAUAGAAGGUGAUGUGAGUGGACAUCCUUGUCUUUUUUCCGAUUGAGAGG